CUGUUCUUGUCAUAAAAUACAUUUAUUGUUCCUCGUCUAUACUUGUUUCAUGUAGUUUUUCAGAUAUUCGUCUGUUCAAAGCUCUGAAAAUAAACGAAGCUAUUUAAAAGAAGAUGGCAAACCCUGGCCCAUUUGAGAAUUGCAAGGAAAUGAUCAAAGCCUUGCCUAAGUCCCGACGUAGGCGUUUUAAAAACAUGAUGAUGCGUCGAAAGAUUGCUCUUGCUCGUGCUCGGCUAUUGAAAAAAAGAAUAUUUUAUGCAGUCCCUCGAUCCAAAAAAUCAAGCAAGCAGCGCAGCCAAUCCAAUGAUCGGCAGAGACCAAAAUAAAGUAUACAUCGGCCACAUCGAGAUGGUGUCCCAAGUGCGCAGCAAGAAAUGCUCUGCCAGCGUCAUUGCAGCGACGCGUCGCCAAUUGAUAAAAGAUAAAAAUAAAGAGUAGUAUUCAAGAAA